rnacentral:lncRNA from 1 species
UAAGAUAGAGCCGACGAAGCGUGCGGGGAGAGAGACCGAUUUAUUGCACCUCGCUCUGGGUCGUGUUUUCUUGUCUCUGAUUGUAAACAGACUUGACUAAAGAGGAGGGAACCCAGCAGAAGCUGUGCGGGGGUCCCUGGUGUGCACAGAACAGUAAUAGCCGUGUUCACUGGGUGUCCGACUGCAUCUCCGACUUGGCUCCCCGAACAGCUUGUUAGCAUCUCUAAAUGGGGCGAGACUGUGGUAAUGUGCCUUCCUGCGAUGCUCACAGGCCCUGGCAACUAAUCGAACAGCACACGACUGUCGCACUUCAGCUGUGGAAGGAACCUUUCCAACAGGGAUUGUCGAGAUUCCAAACGAGGGCCAGAAACGGGGCUGGUCGCCCUGCUGCACCCACGGAAGACUUAUUGUCCGUUCAUCAUCCUACUGUGGAGACAGAAAAUCAUCUGGAAAUGGAACUUAAUUCAGGCUCUACAUCUGGAGAGGUUCCGAGCUUUAAGAGGAAAUGUAUGCUCUCAUUGCUUCUUCGUGGCAUCAUUUAAAUAGAUUUGAUUAUGCAAUGAAAGAUCUUCGCAGAUUCCAGCCGUUUAACUGUGAUUAUACAACAUCGGUAUCCAGAUUCCUAAGAUAGACCAUCAGUACGUAUGCUCAGCAGGUACGACCAGCCAGGGAAGAAAGCACACCUGGCAGGACUGGGCUCUCAGUACCUAGGGACAAGGAUUCCUACCGGUAUUCAAGAGGGGAACGUUCACCUACUGGGAGG